UACGAAGGGAGCUAGCGUUGUUCGGAAUCACUGGGCGUAAAGCGCACGUAGGCGGAUGUGUCAGUCAGGGUGAAAUCCCGGAGCUCAACUUCGGAACUGCCCUUGAUACAGCACGUCUUGAGUCCGGAAGAGGUGGGUGGAAUUCCUAGUGUAGAGGUGAAAAUUCGUAGAUAUUAGGAAGAACACCGUGGCGAAGGCGGCCCACUGGUCCGGUACCUGACGCUGAGGUGCGAAAGCG
rnacentral:rRNA from 1 species